rnacentral:rRNA from 1 species
UACGUAGGGUGCGAGCGUUGUCCGGAAUUAUUGGGCGUAAAGAGCUUGUAGGCGGUCUGUCGCGUCUGCUGUGAAAAUCCGGGGCUCAACCCCGGACUUGCAGUGGGUACGGGCAGACUAGAGUGUGGUAGGGGAGACUGGAAUUCCUGGUGUAGCGGUGAAAUGCGCAGAUAUCAGGAGGAACACCAAUUGCGAAGGCAGCUCGCUGGGACGUUACUGACGCUGAGACGCGAAAGCGUGGGGAGCGAACAGG